GGAAAUAGCUCAGUGGUAGAGCAUAUGCUUAGCAUGCACAAGGUCCUGGGAUCAAUCCCCAGUACCUCCA
rnacentral:tRNA from 1 species